ensembl:lncRNA
CACCUCUAAACUAAUUACUGAAACCUCAUCUUUGGUGUUACUGUCUGGAAGUUGAAGGAUACAAGAGCAUUUGCUCCUCACCAAACUUUAACCUGUUCUUCAUUUCAACAACAAUGGUGCGUUUUGUCAUAAUGAUAAACUGAAAACUGAAAGUAAAAGAAUCGUCACCGACAGUCAGAGACUGCUCUGUCAACCGUUCCCUAUAGGUAGGUAAAGCUCAAAUAUCUUGCCUUUGUGAUUGGAGUUCACUGUUGGGAGGACUUAAUAGUUUUUACAGUUUCUUACAGUGUCAUUACAGGGUGUCUGAGCGGCUGCUGCAUCUGAAGUCACUGGAGGUCAGGGCAGUGAUCCUGGAGGGGUUGUUCCAGGGCAUGCUUCCAUAAUUCACAGCUUAUAACAGAAAGCAGCAAAGCAAAGUAUUCUUUAAGGUAUUGGCUGGAGCAUGGUGUGUCAGGGUUAGGGAUCUGUGACACAGACGCAGCCUUCUCUGCAAAGGUAAAACUGAAAACACGCUGA